rnacentral:rRNA from 1 species
AACGAACGCUGGCGGCAUGCCUAACACAUGCAAGUCGAACGAGACCUUCGGGUCUAGUGGCGCACGGGUGCGUAACGCGUGGGAACCUGCCCUUAGGUUCGGAAUAACUCCCCGAAAGGGGUGCUAAUACCGGAUAAUGUCUUCGGACCAAAGAUUUAUCACCUUUGGAUGGGCCCGCGUUGGAUUAGCUAGUUGGUAGGGUAAAAGCCUACUAAGGCGACGAUCCAUAGCUGGUCUGAGAGGAUGAUCAGCCACACUGGGACUGAGACACGGCCCAGACUCCUACGGGAGGCAGCAGUGGGGAAUAUUGGACAAUGGGCGAAAGCCUGAUCCAGCAAUGCCGCGUGAGUGAUGAAGGCCUUAGGGUUGUAAAGCUCUUUUACCCGGGAUGAUAAUGACAGUACCGGGAGAAUAAGCUCCGGCUAACUCCGUG